CAUCAGAGUCAAGGUAUAUACCACCAUAUCUGCAUACAGAACAUAGAUCAUAUAUCAAUAUUUUGUCCACAAAAUAAGAAGAAUUGAAACUGUACUCAUGUCACCCGACUCCCGCAAGUUGUUAUGUAUGUAUAUACCCCUCCCCUAUCUCCCUACAACUCUAGUACACAACACAGCUAUACACGUAUACCAUUUUUGGAUCCGGUAAAAAAUGGAAGCUCGGUGAAAGAAAGUCUCGGAUAAAAUUUAAUGAUUAACUAUUUUUUCGUUGAGAUCAAGAGAAUGUCGAUUAUAUGUAAUGCACCUUUUAAU
rnacentral:lncRNA from 1 species